GGAAUAUUGGACAAUGGGCGAAAGCCUGAUCCAGCAAUGCCGCGUGAGUGAUGAAGGCCUUAGGGUUGUAAAGCUCUGUUACUGGGGAUGAUAAUGACAGUACCCAGAGAAUAAGCCCCGGCUAACUCCGUGCCAGCAGCCGCGGUAAUACGGAGGGGGCUAGCGUUGUUCGGAAAUACUGGGCGUAAAGCGCACGGAGGCGGCGACUCAAGUCAGAGGUGAAAGCCCGGGGCUCAACCCCGGAACUGCCUUUGAAACUAGGUUGCUAGAAUCUUGGAGAGGUCAGUGGAAUUCCGAGUGUAGAGGUGAAAUUCGUAGAUAUUCGGAAGAACACCAGUGGCGAAGGCGACUGACUGGACAAGUAUUGACGCUGAGGUGCGAAAGCGUGGGGAGCAAA
rnacentral:rRNA from 1 species